rnacentral:tmRNA from 1 species
GCCGGGUUCGCCCGGCUAUGAGGAUAAACGACGGCGUGCAAUAGGCGCAGCGGACCCGGGGGCAGUACCCGGCGGCUCCACCAUAACCGGUGGUGUAUCUGGACACCGUUUCUGACGGGGCCGAACCGGUACGGGGGACACCGGGCAACAGAAGUCCCCCACUUUGCC